GUCGACUGAUUCGCUCACAAAGUUGCUCAUAUACUUGCAUUAUUUUGAUUAUGGUGCCAUGCUUGUCAGAGUUUAGCUGCAUGACUCAGUUAGCUGAAGCUGUAGUUCGCAUGCUUACUCACUGAAGUUCUCGUUAUAUUUUACGUGUGUUAAAUAAUCUCCUCUUCAAAGUUGAAGUUAUUGCUACAGCAGUGGAGAUCAGCACAACGCUAAUAUCUGUCGCUGUUUCAGUGUAGGGAGGAGAUCGUGGUGUCGUCCUGAUGUUUGACCAGACAGGGUUGUUUGACACGAAGGUCUUCUUCAGACUCCUCUGGACAAGGACCAAAGAAACACUAAACAAAAUCACCUGCGUCUGAAGGAGAUGAAGAAAACCGACUUCCUAGGCUAAAUUAACACAUCAAAUCUAUAUAUGCCGGUAACCAACCCUGGUCCUCCAGACUUCCUGUUGUGCUUCUGCAGCCAUCAUUACCUGGAUCAGUUCAGGGAACCAGGAAAUACAUGUUGAUCUGGAUGCCCAAAGCCACAGCAUCGUCCUGUAACAGAUCAGAGGCAAAAAAGGCAGCAUGAGCAUGAUAAAUCAUGUUAAACGUUAAAAUAAAAAUGACAAGUGAAGACAAUCUUAUACUUACAAGGAUUAGAUACAGACCUCUGUAAACAAAGAUUGGAUUUUAGUUUUAAACCCGAGAAACAUCUUCUGCAAUGCAUGAAUAGUGUCAAUGACAAACCUCUUUC